GGUCUACUCUCGGGUAAGCCCUUCAGCUAUAGGAGGGUUGCUCUUGUCCACUGAGAGAGAAACAUUCUCACUUUCGUUCUGCUUGCUUUUGUAUGGUAAUUUUCACCCAGACAACUGAGUUCCCAGUUCAGCUCUCUUCAGUGCAGAGAAACAGCAGUGGCCAAGAUGGGACUUGCAAAGGAGAAUCUGAGUUGAGAGCUAAAUGGAGCUUUUCAAGUUGCCCUGUGGAUGUGGGACCUGAGCUGAGCUCCACUGUGAGAAGACUCCGGAUUGAGUUAGAGGCACUGUUUCAGAGGUCUAGGAAAUCAACAGAAAAAAGGAAAAUUUCCAAGAUCUGCAUUUUGGUUUUGGUUCCACGACUCCCUCAUUGGAUUUAGCACUGAUUUCAGACCCAUUAUCCCUUCAAGUUAGGCGUUCAGUCCCUAAAGGCAGAAGAAUCUCUGCUGAUUUAUAACCCAGAUUUAUAACCCCCCUGUGGGGCUGUGGACUCACUGUUGGUCCUGAGGCUCAGCAUCAAGCCUACACGGAGCUGGAAAGGAAAGAGGGAGAGUUACCAGGCAGCUCCUUUCCUCAUCCCACGAUGUGUUUUAACAAUUUUCGUCAGUGAAUUUAGAGUAAGAUGCCAUGGCUCAGUAGCACUGAAGAUCUUCUGUUUUUGUAUAGAAGACAUCAUCUUCAGAAGGAAAAUGUGCAGUUAUCCAUAUUGCAUGAUGUUAUAUGUUCAUCAAGUCCUCCACUAGACAAGCAGCCUUGUCAGAAGAGACAUCCUGCAUCCUCACGGUUUAAAAGCCCAUAAAAACCACUCCGGGCUAAUGGAAGCCCAUUGAACAAGCCCCGAAGACACAGAUGUGUUGUGCAGACCAGCCAUCCUGGAGCACCAUCACCAGGCUGCUGGCCAAGUGAAGAAGAAACCAUGAAGAGUGGUAUCAAAGAUAUCAAGGAGAGUGGAAGGUAGCAAUUCUUGUUAUGGAGUGCAGUUCUUUCCUUCCCUGCUUCCUCUACCAAUGUUUCUUCUUCUUUCCCCCUUAUAGUGAACAGAUGGUGACUCUAUUUCCAAGGAAAUCAGAACGAAACAUUUCGUUUUCUGCCAUCCUCACACCUCCUUGGUCUCUAAGUGUUCCCUAAGCCCCUCAGCUCUGUGGUUGGUUUAUCUAUGACCACCAGGGACAGAGAGCCCAAUUUCACACUUCUGGAAGUGCCACAGGAUCAAGAGACAAGAGCUUCUGGCAAGAGUUGAGUGGUCUUUAGAAGUGCUAAUUUUCACGACACUCCUAGGCACAGAGCUUUAUUAAAAUAAUCUUAAAAAUGAGGAUGAGAAAGCAUUUCUUCUCCGCUUUGUUGCUCAGAAGUAUUUUCUCUGUAUGUUGUAGAGGACACCCAGGUAACAGUGCAGAGCCCGAUGUGGAGGAGCUUUUGCUUUUUUCCUCUCCUCUGGAUUCAGCUUGAUUUCCAUGCGUGGCCCUGCUUAUGACAGAUGGGAAGAGGCUUUUGGGUUUCCUACCCUUGCAGAUGGAACCUGAACUGUCAAUUUACUACAGAGCUCACAGUAAUUGCUGGUCUUCUGAAUUGGCAAAUGCUACCCCUUAAUUAAGGCUUUAUUCAUUUUGGUAUAAUCAUGAUUUACAGUUCCCUGUUUCAGACAUAUGAAACAAGCACACUGUGAUUGUUCCAAAAGCCUAAUCACUCUGUAUUUUUGAUAGCACAAGAGACAUGCAAUGCUAUACAAAAUAGCUCACAUACCUAGGCACUUCCCUCAGUGUUCCCACUGAGCUCUAGCGUUUUUAGGCAAAGCCCCUUUCCAGAAUCCUCCCCCGCUCGCUGCUCCACUACCCACGGUUUCUCCUCCAAAACAUUAGUCCUGAGAGAAUAUUUUCCUCCUGCUCCCCUGAAUGCCUUUUAAGCCUGCAUCCCUGACAUCUUUUAUGACCCUUUAGAGAGCCAACAACAAUGUUUGUAGCUGCCACUUCCUGUUAUCAGACAUGCCGUGUCCCAGGGAACUUCUGAGCAAACAGAUUCAUAAAACGGAGCGGUUGGCAGGCACCUUGAGAACUCACCAAACUCAUUCCCAAGGCAUGAUCAACAACAUCUAACUCAUUCCUGGCAGGCCUUUGUCUAAGCUGCCCCUAAAGAUUAAGGUUGGAACUCAAUAACUUCUGUAGCUUCCAAUGUCUAAUGCGGAUAAGUUUUGACAAUCUAUCACAGAUGUAAAAAAGAAAGAAACAGCAUUCAGACUAUAGUUUGCAGUCUAACUAGAAUGCUUGUAAAGCAUAACUGGUGUCAGAUAGAACUAGCAAUAUGAAGAUUGCUGAACAGAAGGAUUCCUCCAACUCAUUAUCCCACCCUAUUGGUCUAAGAAAUGCCUUGGGAAGAAAUUAAGAAUAGCUUGUAGUAAUAUCUCCUCUUAAUACUCCCCCAGCUUCUCACAACAUUUGGGUCAGGGGUUUCUCAACUGGAAGGCAAUAUCUGUACUGAAUAUCACUUUCACAGCCUUGCAUAAUUACCUACCGGUCCCAUGAAAAAUUCAAUAUUCACAGUUUACUGUAACAGGUAGGUCUACUCUAUGUUGUUGAAGAACCACCUCCCUGUGUUUACUUUGAACAUAUUAACCAUUAGCUUUCUAGAUCUUACAUUUGUAGAACUAAUUAGUAACAGAUUUUUACUCACACUUUACAGGCUGCUCAUGUCUUUAUUCAUCUUUAUCAUAUCUACUCUCAGCCAAUUCUCUCCUAGGCUGGAGAGUCUACUCUGUAUGAUAUCUACUUCCUGUGUUUUAUCAUCCUUCCCCCAGCUGUUUCCAAUAUAGCAAUUUGCUUUCUCAGAUUAAAUGACAGAACAUUAACAUUCAAAUAGCUUUUUGGCUAUUUUUGACCACUAAGCAAUUAUUUUCAUAAAUCUACAUAACUCCCAGCUUUCCUACCCAGGUAGUCAGCUCAGAAUCAUUACUUUAUAGAUAAAGUUCUGUUUUUCCUCACAUGCACUGUCUUAUGCACAUCUGCUUUCAGUUUACGAUGCUACUGCAAUGUCUGAUCGCUCUGUUCCCUAAGAUCCUCAGUCUUGGUAGAAUUCCGCUAUUGAUCUCCCUUUACUGCAAGAGUUGCCUUUACAUCUUUCAAUCAACUUAAUGCAAUCUAUGCAGAGAUCUUCCUUCUUAUUCCAUGACUACUUACAUGUUUUUUAAGGGCAUUGGAUGAGAGGCCUUCUUGAAUAUGUGGGAAAGCACAAGUAAGUAGAGAGUGCCAAUCAAAGAUUUCCUUCAUCUGCAUGCUUCUUGUCACCUUACAGGAACUCGAUGGAUUUGUAAAGCUUGACUUCCCUUUAUAAAACUGUACUGUAUUUCUCACAGUGCGUCAUAUUUACCUUUCUCUCUAUCCUGCUGAUUCAUUUUUGCUAAACUUAUCAUAUUUGCCAGGAUCUGAUUUUUCCACUUUCUCUUGGAAUCAUUUUUAAAAGCUGGCAUUGCAUUAGCUACUUUCAGGUGCUCAAAUCUAAGCCUGUUUUAAAUUAGAGGAUGUGCAGUAUACUUAUUUCAGCUGUUUCAUCACUGAGUCCCUUUAGAUGUCUUGGGUGAACACCAUCUGGUUCUAACAUUUUCUUCCUAUACAUUUUGUUUAUUUGCUCCAUUCCUCUUCUAUAGACAGUUGAGCUUGAAAUAGAUCCUCUGAUGAUACCCAUAUGGAAGUGUUAUGCUGCAGGAAACUCUCCAGAGCAGAAUAAAUAAAUAAAUAAAAUCAUUUAUUUUAUUCUGCUACAGUUUUCUGUUUCCUGAGAUCUCCUUUUAUGCUCUGCUUAUCUAUUUGUCCUGACAUUCUCCAUGACAUUCAACUUGCCUUGAAUUCAAGAGGAGCAUACAGUUGCAAAUCACUUCCCAGAUUACUUCUGAAUCAUAAUAUUUUGAUGUAAGUAGAAAGAGUUCCCCUCUUUGAUUUGAGUAUGACUAGGGAUACUCUGGUUUUCAGAUAGAUUCUUCUGUAAGGCAACAGUUAUUUUUCAGCUCAACACCAUUUAUAUAUUCUGCACACCUUCUGAAGGGGUUGGAGAUGUAGGCUCAGACAUAUAUUAUGUUUCAAAAUAUGAGUUUAGAUUGUGCACUUUGAAGUGGAGUCCUUGCUGUUGACUGUUGUAGGUCUGUGCUUACUUUGAACCCUGUAAGUGUUUAGGCUCUUCAAAUAACACAAUUAAAGCAAUCACUUGGUUGCUGAUGUGAAUUUCACGUCUGACGCUUCACACAGACCUGAAAGAAAAAAAAUACUACCCAUUGCCAGCCAGAUAGACAGGUGGAUUGUGUUUGUCCCUGACAAGUUUGUAUUCACAUGGCUUUCUGGCAGACUUACCUUCUUAAUGUGAAUGAAAUUCACGUUCUGAGUAAAAUGAAAUAAAGAAUGGAUGAACAAACUGUUCCUGCAUUCUGAAACCUUCUGCCUGUGCCAAUGACAGAGAGAUUACCCAUCCCUCCACCCCUCUGCUCUCCCUGCCUGCAUCCGUAUCAGUAGACCUUGCUGGCCUUGCUGGUGGUGGAAGACGGACAGUCCAAAAUGAGAAACAUCAGUGUCCUAGUUGACCAACACUAAGUGGUAUCACAGUCACACAGGUGUUUUGGGAAGUUCAGUAAAAAUAGUCAGGAAUGCAAGGCUAACGCAGCAUCAGUCAAGAAAGCACCGGUCAUCAUGCAAAACCUCUUCUAAGCACACAAGACUUCUUGAUGUUGCCAUCAUAAUCUGUAAUUUUUCAGAGACUUUCAAUUCUGAACACAUAGGUGAACUGAAAAUGCUUCAGUUGGCUGAAUGACUAUCGUCACUACAAAUUUUCAAAUAGAUUUUUGUCUUUUUUCACGCUGUAGAUAAUUGAGCUAGUGGAAUCAGCGAUCUAGAAAACUAUCACAAUUCAAUCCCUGGUUCUCUGUUUCUUAGCUCUGUCAUAAACCUUUGUUUCAGAAUAAAUGUUUUCACACCCUU